AGAGUUUGAUCCUGGCUCAGAACGAACGCUGGCGGCGUGCUUAACACAUGCAAGUCGAACGAGAGGAACGUAGCAAUACGUUUAGUAAAGUGGCGCACGGGUCCGUAACACGUGGGUAAUCUACCUUCGGGCGAGGGACAACCUGUUGAAAGACGGGCUAAUACCUCAUAAGACCACGGAAUCUUUGGAUUCUGGGGCCAAAGGUGGCCUCUAUUUAUAAGCUAUCACCGGAAGAUGAGCCCGCGCACCAUCAGCUAGUUGGCGAGGUAACGGCUCACCAAGGCUAAGACGGUUAGCUGGUCUGAGAGGACGACCAGCGACACUGGAACUGAGACACGGUCCAGACUCCUACGGGAGGCAGCAGUGGGGAAUUUUGGACAAUGGGCGAAAGCCUGAUCCAGCAACGCCGCGUGAGUGACGAAGGCCUUCGGGUUGUAAAGCUCUGUCGGAGGGAACGAAUAAGGGACACCUAACACGUGUCCCGAUGACGUACUCUCAAAGAGACCCCGU
rnacentral:rRNA from 1 species